GGAACACCAGGACAUAAGAAUUAUGGGUUGAGUGUUCUUCAGCAACAUGUGGCCUUUUUUGACAUGGACGACAAUGGAAUCAUUUACCCUUGGGAGACAUAUACUGGGCUGCGUGCAAUUGGUUUCAACAUGAUUGCAUCUCUUAUAAUGGCUAUUGGUAUUAAUGGAGCUUUGAGCUACCCUACUCUUCCCGUUAUAUAUUAAAUAGAAAAAACAAUUUGCUCUAUCCUGUUCACCGGUAGCUAAUAUGGAGAAGGAUUUUGAUUCAAAGCUAAGGAUUGAGAGCAAUUCUUCCAAUGGAGGGAACAUACCCAGAUCUAAG